UACGUAGGCAGCGAGCGUUGUUCGGAAUUACUGGGCGUAAAGAGUGUGUAGGCGGUGCUCCCAGUCUGUUGUGAAAUCUCCCGGCUUAACUGGGAGGGUGCAGCGGAAACUAGAGUGCUAGAGGGUGGGAGAGGUAAGCGGAAUUCCUGGUGUAGCGGUGAAAUGCGUAGAUAUCGGGAGGAACACCAAUUGCGAAGGCAGCUCGCUGGGACGAUACUGACGCUGAGGCGCGAAAGCGUGGGGAGCAAACAGG
rnacentral:rRNA from 1 species